rnacentral:lncRNA from 1 species
UUGGGAAGAUUCCCCUGGAGAAGGAAAUAGCAACCCACUCCAGUAUUCUUUUCUGGAAAAUCCUAUGGACAAAGGAGCUUGGUGGGCUGCAGUCCAUGGGGUCACAAAGAGUCAGACAUGACUCAAUGAUGGAGCAACAUGAAACCCAGAUGAGUGAAAGAGAGGAAAAACUUUAUCCCUGGUCAGCUUGAAGUAUUGCUCUGUAAACUGAUCCAUCCUGCUGAUUUUUCAAAGUCUGCAGAAGCCUGAGUGGCCUGUUGCACAGUCUACCCAAGGGACAUGGACUUGGUCAUCCAUGGCACAGAAGAGAUCCGACCUCAAAUCGAGAUAAAGGUGGACACACCUGUUAUCUAAAUUAUGCGAUUUAUCCAGUUGAAGAGGCUUCUUUAUCCUUCCAUCAGAAGCACGGUGAAAGUGGAAACUAAAUUAUACACAGGAACAAAGAGAAUGCUCCCGUAAUCAGGGUCUG